rnacentral:rRNA from 1 species
UACAGAGGCUUCGAGCGUUAGCCGGAAUCACUGGGCUUAAAGCGCGUGUAGGCGGACUUCUAAGUACCUUGUGAAAUCCCACGGCUCACCCGUGGAACUGCUUGGUAUACUGGUUGUCUUGAGCCUUCUAGGGGCGAGUGGAACAAAUGGUGGAGCGGUGAAAUGCGUAGAUAUCAUUUGGAACGCCAAUGGUGAAAACAGCUCGCUGGAGAAGUGCUGACGCUGAGACACGAAAGCCAGGGGAGCGAACGGG